UACAGAGGGGGCAAGCGUUGUCCGGAAUUACUGGGCGUAAAGAGCUCGUAGGUGGUUUGUCGCGUUGUUCGUGAAAACUCAUAGCUUAACUGUGGGCGUGCGGGCGAUACGGGCAGACUGGAGUACUGCAGGGGAGACUGGAAUUCCUGGUGUAGCGGUGGAAUGCGCAGAUAUCAGGAGGAACACCGGUGGCGAAGGCGGGUCUCUGGGCAGUAACUGACGCUGAGGAGCGAAAGCGUGGGGAGCGAACAGG
rnacentral:rRNA from 1 species